CUCGCCACCAAAGUUGCAACACCGGAGGGAAGACAUCAGGAUUGGGAAUUUGACAAGCAUGCGUCCGAUCCAAUGAGAAAGGCAAGUCGUGUGUGCUGCAGCCAAUAAUGGAGGGAGUAACAUAACAGACGUACCAGGGACAGCAGGAAGGACGAGACAGGCGGGGAAGUUCGGUAAACAUCGACUGUACCCAAUUUUCUUGUGCUUGUGAGAAGAGUAGGAAGCAAAGAUGUCGGAACGAAAAGUUUUAAUGAUCCUGUGCAGAAAGUUUUAAUACAGCAGGUCUGAGGCUGCUGACCUAGAAAGACUGCCUUGCAAGGUUGGACCUUGGCUGGCAUCUGGGAACGUGAAUUUCAGGAUGGUUCCCACUGUUCCCUGAUGAGAAUGGCUCCCUGGGCUUAAGCUGUUUGUACUAUGUGAUUUAUGGGGAGCACUUGCUCUCCUCUUGGAGUCUGGAAUUUUGGUCCAUGCUGGACAGAGGUGCCUACAUGACCAGCCCCCAGUGAUAACCCCAGCUACUAGGUCUCCAUGAGCUUCCCUGAGACAAUAUUUCACAUGCGUUGUCACAACUGAUCGCUGGUGGCAUUUAGCACGUCCCGUGUGACUUCAUUGGGAAAAGACUUCAUUGGGAAGCUUGCGCCUGGUCUCCCUGGACCCACCCCACAUGACUUUUCCCUUUGCUGAUUUUCCUCUAAGACUGUCUGCUGAGCCCAGGAGCCCUCCCACCAAAUCAUUGAACCCGGGGGCGGUCUUGGAGAUCCCAACAGCUCCCAGAGGCCCUUCCUUCGGCUCCUAGUCUUCCCUUGCUUCGGAAAGCAUCCCUUGACAUUUCCUUCCUCCCCACAGAAACACUACCUGCCCGACCUUGCCUUGUCAAAGACCCCAAGCUAAGGUCCCAAAACACCGGCAGUACAUGGUGCCUUUGAUGGACCCUUCAACAUGAGGUGAAGAUAACAGACCUGGAUCGCAGCUCCAGGCAGGAGGAGCCUGGGGCACCCGCCUCCCUCGGGGUCCCGGGAGAAGUGGAGUUGCUGAGUCAAGGAGCAUGUGGGUUUAAACUGUAAUGAGUCCUGCCAGGAGCUUUCCAGAAAGGCCGCGCUGUUUCUGUAUCAUCCGACCUGUCUCCUGGCCUCAUCCCAGGCUCAGCACUUCCGGAACUGUCCAGGGUGAACUUCCUGUGCUCUCCUAUUGGAAUGGUUUUCUUCACUCCUAACUGGCCUUCGGCGAGGGGACAUUUUAAGCCCAAUCUCCUUCCGCGGGAGGUGUGCCUUUACGAAACCUCCCCCUGGGGGCUGUGGGGGUGGAGCUUGAGAUAUUUUUACCCAAUCACUUUUCCUGAUUGGGUUUUCCGAAGGGAAUUGUCCAAUCACUUACCUUGGGGACGGGGCUUCUUUUAAAAUAUUGGUAUUACUGCUGUACACCUUCACCUCUACUAAGCCCCGCCCCCCUGGGGUCUCGAGCCCAUUGCAGGGACUAGGUAUGGUGGGCUAGCUCUCACCUCUCCUCUGGUUCCUUAAAGAACAGGAGGCUAGCUGACCGGGCACCGCUGGGCCAGCUAGGUGUGUAUUCCAAAAUCAAGGCCCACAGGAGUGGCACACAGGUCAAAGGUAUCACAUGUAGCUCUAGCCGGUGGUCCCGGCAGGAGGCCUUCACACCAACCAGGGUCGCAACCAGACAAUCGUGAAUGUUGUCGGAGGCCGGCAGGUACAGCCAGGGGUUAAGUCAAGGGACUAGGUUUCUCUCCUGUUGCCCCACUCACCAUCCCACCAGACCUCGGGGUCCCCAGCUCACACUGCCACCUUUGUGGCACUAACUUCAGGGCUGUGACAUCCCUGAAGAAGCUUCUGGCCAGCCUUUACAGUCUUCUCUUGAAGAGUCCUUGAGACGUUAGCCAUGUUUUGGGCACAUGAGUGAGCCUACCCACCCCAGAGUGGCUCCCUCCCUUCCUGUUACAAAACCAUCUGGGACCAGUAGAAGGAAACUGACCAUCUGGCCUGGGCGCCUGCUCUCUGCCAGCAUCUGAGGAGGGGGCGGUAGAACCAUGCGACUCAACCAGUCCUGGAUUCCUGCCUCACAAACCAUGAGAUGACAUAUGUGUGUUUAGCAUGUGAAGUUUGGGGAUAUUUCUUAUACAGCAAUCGAUAGCUAAUAUGGUCACAUGACCAGUAAGUCUGCUUCCCAAGCUCAUGUUCUUUCAGGGUUGCCAGAUUUCAACUCAGGUGUAAUCCUCUCCCAUUCUAGUACUUUCUAGAUGUAGGUCCUGUGCCACCGCCAGACUCCUUCACAGCCUGACCCACCCUUCUCUCCUCUCCCACUCCUCCCAUGAUGUCUGACAUUAGCUCUCUCUCUCUUUCUCUCUCUCUCUCAUUCAUACAGACUUUCAUUUGGUGUUUGAAAAUGAGGUUUUGUGUUUUUCACUGUCAGAGUUUGGGGAAUGAAAAGCCCCGACUUCUGGGAUCCACUUUCCUACCUGCUUAGAUACAGCAGAUGAAUAGGCGACCUGGGAUCCAGCCAGGGCUUCUGCUGAGGACUUGGGGGCGUCUCACAUCAUCGUUCCUUGGCUGCGAAGACAGGACCUGGGGUCCUGGUUUUGAAGCCGUGAUAGGGGUGGGCUGAAGGCAGCUCGCAAGGGCAGCUGGUGAGAACUACACGUGGCAUCAGGCCUGCACGCAGUGGCAUCCUAUUUGUGGCUUCAGACUGGCCACAGCAGGAGUCGUUACAGCAGGGAGUCAGCAAACGCUACAAGGCAGCCCCCCAGGCCAGAGAGCCAUCGUGACUCACUCCCCAGCACACCGGGCUUGUCUUCUCCCAGGAUCAGGCACCAAGCCCCGGCUGCGGUCCAGUCAGAGACUCUCGGUUAAAACAAAUCGUCCAGCUUAAUGAGUUGUGAAAAGUGACUGGGGCGAUUGAGGCCUCACUGGUCAUUUUCUUAAAUUUCUUGGGGUGACAAUGGUUAGUAAAAUUACAUAGGUUUCAAGUGUAUAAUUCUGUAAUAAUCAUCUAUAUAUCACAUUGUGUGUUCACCAUCCAGAGUUAGUUCUCCUUCCAUCACCAUAUAUUUGACCCCCUUUAUCCUCUUCUACCACCUCCUUCCCCCCUUGCUGGUGCAUUUUGAGUCAUUCUUCAGACUGUUUCCUGAACUUCUGUCAUUCUUGACCUGCCACGCUUCUUGCCGAGUGCAUGCACUAUGGGUUACUAUCACUUAAUAGCAUUAAGUGUUAGCCUAACUCCAUUCUAAAACGUGGGUUAGUAAACCACAGUCCAUGGCCAAACCUGACCCAUGGCUUGUUUUUGUAAAUAAAGUUUUACUGGCACACCAGCUCACCCAUUUGCGUGCAUAUCAUGUGUGUUUCUGCUGUACAGUGGCAGAGUUGAGUAGUUAUGACAGAGACUCCAUGGCCUGCGAAUCCAACAUGUUUAUAGAGAAAGUUUGCCGGCCCCUACGUGGGUCACCCAGCUCUGCAGUUCCAGCUCUGCUCCCACAACCUCCGGGGAAAGGUGGCCAAGACACCCCCUUUCCCAAUUUCUAGGCUCACACUGUCUCUCCAGCUCUGCUGGCUAUGGUCACCCUGAGGACCAGGGCCAGCUUCCCUCUCCUCAGUGUGACACGGUGGAUGGAGUACACAGGGUCCAUUUAACGAGUAAUAAUAACUAGUAACUUUUGUGCAGCACUUGACCACUUGCCAAACCUUGUACUGAGAUCUUUAUGCAAACUUGCUCAUUUGAGUUUCCCAGUGCAAGUGUAUUAAUCCAUUUGCUCAUUCAAUAAAAAUAUUUAUUGAGCACCUACUAUGUGCCUGACUCUGUUUUAGGUACUGGGGUUACAGCAGUGAAGAAAAACAGAUGGUUGCCACUCAUAAAGGUGACAUUCUUAUUAGAAGAUGGGGGAUAAGAGAGUAAACAGACCUAAAUAUAAUAAUGAAAUAUAAACAAAAUAAGUGUAUACUGGAGGUGCUGGUAACGGUGAUGAAAAUAAAGCAAGGUACGUUUUGAGGGGGUGCCUUUAGGAGGUUUGUUUAUUGCCCGUUUCUCCCUGUGAAUUAUCUAGAGCUGCGAAACAUUACCCCCCAAAUUAGCAGCUUACGGCAACAGGAAUCUGACCUGACUUCACUGGGUUCUGUGCUUCAGGGUCUUUCACAGCUGCAAUUAAGGUAUCCUGCCAGAUCCCCCAGCAAGUGAGCUUGGCAAGGAUUGGUAUUAUAUUGAUGAGUGUGUCCCUAGCCCCUAAGGCCAUCCAGGCACUUAGUAGGUGCUCAUUAAAUGUUUGUACCCUGACUGAGUGGAUGUCUCCCCAUUCACCAUCUGACCCCGGGAAACCCACCUUUGCCACACCUCCCUGCUCCUCCACCAUCACUGGAAGUGUUUCUUUAAUUCCCAUUUUCCCUGCAGGCUUUUAUUCUUUGUUCUCCCACCCUGUGACCUGGGAGCAGUUUUGCUCUUGGCCCUCAAUUCCUUUG